rnacentral:rRNA from 1 species
CCUACGGGUGGCAGCAGUGGGGAAUAUUGCACAAUGGGGGGAACCCUGAUGCAGCGACGCCGCGUGGGUGAAGGAGUAUUUCGGUAUGUAAAGCCCUAUCAGCAGGGAAGAACAAUGACGGUACCUGACUAAGAAGCACCGGCUAAAUACGUGCCAGCAGCCGCGGGAAUACGUAUGGUGCAAGCGUUAUCCGGAUUUACUGGGUGUAAAGGGAGCGCAGGCGGCGCGUUAAGCCUGGUGUGAAAGCCCGCGGCCCAACCGCGGGACUGCAGUGGGAACUGGCGCGCUGGAGUGCCGGAGGGGUAGGCGGAAUGCGUAGUGUAGCGGUGAAAUGCGUAGAUAUCAGGCGGAACACCGGUGGCGAAGGCGGCCUGCUGGACUGCAACUGACGUUGAGGCCCGAAAGCGUGGGGAGCAAACAGGAUUAGAUACCCUGGUAGUC